rnacentral:other from 1 species
UAAUGCCUGCGGUACUCGUGAUAUUGUAAUCGAUUCUGAACCAAGUAAAAAUUCGGAAGUCGAGCCAUUUAUCGCGGAUAAGCCAGACAGGAUCUGGAUAUGUAAGAUAAGAUACGGUAGACGUCCACCUGUAACGGUGGUUCGAGAGAGAUACAAUACACGGUACACGCAGGUUAUCA